GAUGCAGCCAUGCCGCGUGUAUGAAGAAGGCCUUCGGGUUGUAAAGUACUUUCAGCGGGGAGGAAGGUGUUGUGGUUAAUAACCGCAGCAAUUGACGUUACCCGCAGAAGAAGCACCGGCUAACUCCGUGCCAGCAGCCGCGGUAAUACGGAGGGUGCAAGCGUUAAUCGGAAUUACUGGGCGUAAAGCGCACGCAGGCGGUCUGUCAAGUCGGAUGUGAAAUCCCCGGGCUCAACCUGGGAACUGCAUUCGAAACUGGCAGGCUGGAGUCUUGUAGAGGGGGGUAGAAUUCCAGGUGUAGCGGUGAAAUGCGUAGAGAUCUGGAGGAAUACCGGUGGCGAAGGCGGCCCCCUGGACAAAGACUGACGCUCAGGUGCGAAAGCGUGGGGAGCAAACAGGAUUAGAUACCCG
rnacentral:rRNA from 1 species